CCCUUAGAUGUUCUGGGCCGCACACGGGCUACACUGAAGGAGGCAGCGUGUACUCCUGGAUCGAAAGAUUUGGGUAACCCGCGAAUCUCCUUCGUGCUAGGGAUUGAGGUUUGCAAUUAUCCUUCAUGAACGAGGAAUUCCCAGUAAGUGCAAGUCAUAAGCUUGCGCUGACUACGUCCCUGCCCUUUGUACACACCGCCCGUCGCUACUACCGAUUGAAUGAUUUAGUGAGGACUUCGGACUGGGACCGAUGCGGCUUUCGGGCUGCGUCGGUAUUCUGGAAAGAUGUCCAAACUGUAUCAUUUAGAGGAAGUAAAAGUCGUAACA
rnacentral:rRNA from 1 species